rnacentral:rRNA from 1 species
UACGAAGGGUGCAAGCGUUAAUCGGAAUUACUGGGCGUAAAGGGUGCGUAGGCGGCUAGUUAAGUCUGUUGUGAAAUCCCCGGGCUCAACCUGGGAAUGGCAAUGGAUACUGGCUGGCUAGAGUGUGUCAGAGGAUGGUGGAAUUCCCGGUGUAGCGGUGAAAUGCGUAGAGAUGUGGAGGAACACCGAUGGCGAAGGCAGCCCCCUGGGCUAACACUGACGCUCAUGCACGAAAGCGUGGGGAGCAAACAGG